GACGAACGCUGGCGGCGUGCUUAACACAUGCAAGUCGAACGGAAAGGCCCUGCUUUUGUGGGGGGCUCGAGUGGCGAACGGGUGAGUAACACGUGAGUAACCUGCCCUUGACUUUGGGAUAACUUCAGGAAACUGGGGCUAAUACCGGAUAGGAGCUCCUGCUGCAUGGUUGGGGUUGGAAAGUUUCGGCGGUUGGGGAUGGACUCGCGGCUUAUCAGCUUGUUGGUGGGGUAGUGGCUUACCAAGGCUUUGACGGGUAGCCGGCCUGAGAGGGUGACCGGCCACAUUGGGACUGAGAUACGGCCCAGACUCCUACGGGAGGCAGCAGUGGGGAAUAUUGCACAAUGGGCGGAAGCCUGAUGCAGCAACGCCGCGUGCGGGAUGACGGCCUUCGGGUUGUAAACCGCUUUCGCCUGUGACGAAGCGUGAGUGACGGUAAUGGGUAAAGAAGCACCGGCUAACUACGUG
rnacentral:rRNA from 1 species